AUCGAACCCUAUUCUUCUCCACGCUGCAUUGAUUUGAUGAAUGAACGGAAACUGGUGAAUGAAAUAGUAUUUUUCAUUGAAGGAGGCGCAGAUAAAAAGAGCGAAGAGAAGAGGUUUUCCCAGAUGCGGCUGUGCUUCGCAUACUGAGUUCCUGCAGUUAGCCACACACGCAGACACAGCAACGCACACACUCAGCCGCUGAGAGAGACACAGAGCUUGGGCAGAGAGCAGACAUUCCCCUGCAGAAGCCGUAGCUAGUGGGCGAUGGCUCCACUACCCUCCUAGCCCACCCCUGCAUAGCGCACGACUCACAACAGGUGACCACCCGAGGAGCAGCUCGAUUGACCAGCUGCAGGUGGCUGGAGUGGUGCUGUGAAGGACCGCUCCUCCGGACCUUGAUGUGGGCUGUUUCACGAGGACGUCCAAUUAAAGACUCUACAAAAACAGUGAGGAGGAGAGCGAUCCCCCUCUGCUGUCUUUCUGAAUGAAUAAAGAUGGACGUCUUUGGAGCUCACAGAAUUUUGCUUGCUUGUCUCUCCCACCUGCCACCCCUCUGUGCUCAGGGCUCUUGUCUGGGUGCUUGGUGUGGCUAGCAUGCUCUUUAUCUCUCUCUCUGAACAGAACCUCACUGUGCUGGGGUCAAGAAAAGGUCUUUACAAAGGUCACUCAAUAGUGCCUGUGUGCGUACAUUCAGAGCGUGAGAGAAGGGAAAUCGGGUUCCAAAUUUAAUGUCGGCACAUUUAUUGAUUAGUUAAUAAACCAAUUAAUACUCUUUGAGUUAGUGGUGUG